AUGUUUUUGUUAUUGGUGGUGUAAAGCUUGUAAGCAAUAUAUAGGAACAUCACAAGAAAGCUAGACACGUUUUGGGGGACAAAUACAUUCGAAAUAUAGUUCACAGAAUUUGCUAAAGAUAAAACUGCUUCACAAUUUUUUUUUAUGUUUUACCACCAUAUCUGUUAAAUGGUUUGGUAGUGUGGGUGGGUAAAUAGAAUAUGUUUAUCGGGGGAAGGAGUAGUAGAUACUGAAUUACGAAUUUCUUUUUUUCCAGUCAUGCUUGCAGCUUUGUGAGUCUGUCUCACAGAGAAACAGCAGAUGGAUUUAGCGUAUGAUCUGUGGCUUGAAAGAAACCAGAGUUGCUGCUACUCUGCUCUACAAGCCACAUUACCAGGGCAACAUGGCAUUUACAGGCAAAUACGAGUUUGAAGGCGAUGAGAACUAUGAUGACUUUGUGACGAAGAUUGGUCUCCCCAGUGACAAAAUUGAAAUGGGAAGGAAUUGCAAAAUAGUCACUGAGGUGGUGCAAAAUGGAAAUGACUUCACCUGGACACAGCAUUUCCCAGGAGGCCGUACCACGACCAACGUAUUCACAGUUGGCAAGGAAGCAGACAUGGAGACAAUGGGUGGUAAAAAGUUCAAGGCAACUGUAAAAAUGGAAGAUGGGAAAUUAGUAGCUGAUUUUCCCAACUAUCGCCAUACUUCAGAGAUUUCUGGAGGAAAGCUUGUGGAGAGGCUGCUCUUGGACUUAACCUGCCCCAACUCCACCCACGAUACAACAGCACAUAUGGAACAUGGAAGUCAAUGCACAAUUCCUGCUUAGAAUGUAGUCACCAGAAGAAAGACUGAAUGUAUAGCUGUAUUCUCCUAUUCAGUCUGUCAAUCUCCUCAGGUGAUGUCAGCCUGGUACAGAAAUUUAAUGAGUAUGCUAGUGGAAGUAGGAGAAAUCACUGCAUGCCCAGAAAACUACAGACAGGAUCUGUCAUUCUGGCUCCUUUUUCUACCAGAGCACUUGGACUUCAGCUGGGAUCUGUUCUGUGCCACAGGUCAAACAUGCAGCAUCUUCUGACUCCUGCAACAGUUCCAGUUCUCCUUGCUGCCCUCCUCCCUCUCCCAGCACCAGCAGUUCCAGCUGCAGGGUACCAGGGUACCAGCUGCUGCACAGCCAAUCUCCAGAGAACUGCAUCCUCCGUGGACAGCCAAAGCCAAUCCAGACUGCAGCACUGUGCCUUCCCGUAACAAAAUCACACAUAGGAAACUUGCUGGUGAGUGCUUCCAUGCUUAGCCGAGUGCAGUUUAACUAAUUGAUCAAAAAGAGUUAGUGUGUUUGUGAACAGUCUGAUAGUAGAGUACAGCUGACGCAUUUAGCUUUUCCUCAAGAUCUGAACUUAGCAUAGACACUUAUGCUUCAGGAGUACUACUGAGAUGUCACACAAAAACCCUGGGGCAAACCAACACACUAUUUCAACUGUACCUGAAAACUUCUUGGGCUUGAAUCCAUUUCACCCUUCAGCACCCUUGCAACAGCCCCAGGCAAUUGAAAUUUGCAGGAAAGUUGAACUAGUAUUGUGCUUGAAAAUCAAUUACUUCACAUGGUCCACUGUGGAUUCUUAUCAAGCAUUUCAUUAAGUCCUUCUUACACACUUCAAAGUACUCACAAGCAGCUAAUCUGAGAAGGGUCAGAGACAGGAGUGUGAAAAUUGAAAUUCCAACUUUAAGGAAAAAGAAGAGAGAUCAUGAAUAACCAUGUACUUUAUUAGGACACCUGUUCCUUUCAGCUUCAUGCACAUGCUGCCAUCUAUAACAUAAGUAAAUUACAGCAAGCAACCAGUAAUGCUAUUGUUGCUGAUUUUCAGAAGCUAGGGGGUUUUGUGUGUGUUUUCCCUUAAGUGAACAGAUUAUGCUUUUGUUGCAGUCUUGGAUAAAAAAAAAAAAUCCUGCUAUUAAUACACCUCAAUGCCUUUUACACCUACUUUCUUUUACAGCUGAUAAAACUGGAAAGGUGCAUCAGAAUGCAAGGUUAAUGUUUUAUCCUAUUAAAUGAAAUAGAAAAGAGCACAAAACCUUUGCAUGUCCACAGGUUCUCAUCCAGAUCUUGUUUUAAAAAGAAGACCCAGAAGCAACACCUACACGACACCCUAAUACCUUCCCUCUGCUCAGAAUGUCACUGGCUAGUCUGCACCACUCUGCAGUUCAGGCUGUGUCAGAGAGAUCUGACUAUGUCAAAUUUACCAUUUAAUUAAGCAUUGAAAGGGUGACCAUUUUUUAAAUUAACAAGGACAAGAGUGGACUUCAGAGGCUAAAAGAUAACACAGUACUUUGUUACAUCAAGACCUUCACGCUAUCUGCAAGUUAAGUAAACCAGAUGCUUUGGCCCAACUACAUGAAGUACAGGGACAUACACUGGAUGCAGUGAGAAGGGGGAAGAGGUGGUGUUUUUACUGAACAAAGUUAAUAAUAAGAUCCUGUACUAACAG